UGUGUUAUUGUUGAUUAUUUUUUCCAGUUUUCAAAUAUUUUGUACCGUUUAGUGCAAUUACGGUUCGUGGAGUUUCUGGAUAUAAUUUAAGCACCCAACGACUCCUGCCGCGGUUGCCAAAUGAUGUUCUGGACUCAUCAACGCAAGCGGCCGAUCUUGGGCUGGGACUACUUCAUGCAGGUGGACUCAAACAUACAGGACUUCAGACAUCCAAAGGUCAUGCUCGCUCAAAGGAACUCAACGAAAAAGAUUGCAGCUUUUUUAUCAACAAACAUGUUGAACAUCGCUGAAUAAGAUGUUGAGGCAAACACCGCCACCACUGCCCAGCACAAGCACAGUUCAAGUUCUUAGAAAACUUGACAGAUUUUCUAACCUGGACCCGGCAGCUCCUGAAUAAGGCAGAUUUCUUCACCUGCAUAAGAUAAUCAACAGCGCGACUUCCAGCUUGUCGAGCUUUAGGGAUCAACACCAUCAGUGCUCAUAAGUUGAUUUCUAGAUUAUGUUUACUGCCGUUCUACGCAUAAUUGUCCCAUGUCAGUUUU